UGCCAAAGCUUGCAAGCCUAGGACUUAGAUGGCUGGUAUCUUGUGUCUUGGAAAAAAAGUCCCAUGGGCCACCACCAAAUGAGAUAUUUUAAUGAAGGACUUAAAGGCUGAAUCUAGGCUGUGGCUGAACAUCAUCUGUAGCAGAGUCUUACCAUACACACACAUGACCUUAGUCAUAGAUAUGAGAUCUAGGAUGGUAGUAUGCAUAUUAUCUGAUAUUACUCUGAAUGUGGGAAAGAUUUCUCUCUCUAAGUGGCAAUAUUUCAAGAACCAAGGAAGUACCCAUCUUCUUUAUCCAUUUCUUAUCACUGAAUUAGGUAGGAGAGCAUAAGUAGAGGAGUAUAUUACGGACACUUGGGUGCGCCUUGGCUCUCUUAUCUAUCCAGUAAAAUUCAGAGGUGAAGACGCACUAGGUCAAAGUAAGAAGAGAAAGAUAGAAUCGGGCAAAUCUGUCUAAAAGGUCACAAACUCUUACGAACCCUUAUCAGUGACUACCUUCAAUGAAAUUUCUAUUCAGAUAUAGGGGAUAAGAGAGAUAUUGUCUAGAUUACCUCAGGUACCAGGAGAUUCCUACAUUGCUCAUCAUUCAUAUGUGGCACAAUCAGAUUGUGAUAAGUACAUAGCUGAGCAGAAGAAGUAGAAUGCCACUAUGGUCAUCCUAGAGAGAUCUUAUUCAGCCUUAGAUGAAUCCUAUAGGAGCCUCAAAGUCUCAUAUGAUGAGAUAGUAAAGAGGGAGAAAAAGAGGGAUAAAUUUUUCAUAAAGUUGUGGAAGGGGUAAAAGGCAUAUUCAAGGUGCUCAAACCCAACCAACUGUUACCUUCACUGAGAGUUGAUAGUGAGGAUGAUGCACCUGGAAAAGUGUCAGCCAAUGAUGUAGAGUCAGGAGGAGGAGAUAGCUUGUGAUGCGGAUACAUAGAGCCAUUUUUACACUUGAUUUCUUGCAUAUGCAGUACAGACACUACAUUCAUUUCAGUAGGGGGUGACCCUAGAUUCUAUACUGUUUGGUGUUAUAUAGACUUAUAUUUCUUUUGAUAAUCUUUUGCAUACUAUUUCUCAUUUUUUUCUUUGGAUGCUAUAUUUUUUGGUAUCUAGAUGGUGCCCAAGUUUUAUGGAUUAUCAUGUUUUACUUUUACUUUUAGUAUUAUUUUUCUAUAUGUACUUUAAAAUUUUUUAUGGAUCUUAAUGAUGUUAGGAUAAGUAUGCAAGGGAAUUCUGAGUAUCCAUAGCAUUUUGUUUUGCAAAUAGGGAUCACUUUAUACACCAUUGGAAAAGUCUGAGUAGCCAUAUGGUUAAUUUAUCCAUUUUGAGCUAAGAUAUGAGACUAAGUCUUUGGCUGUAUCAGUAGCCAUAUGUUAGUAAUUUGUGCAUAGUGUUGUGGCAAAUCAAGAAACCCCCUCAGUCCAAAAUUUUUGAAAAAUCAAGGGCAUGGACAUGAGCAAUGUUUUAACAAAUACUUUUCUCUUUUUGUGGUUCCACAAAUUUUUGACUUACGAAUAAAUGAUAAAUACUCCAAGACUGUUUCCAUCGGGAGGGACAUUUAAGCUCCCUUAACAAUUUUUGCAUGCCAUGUGUGGUAUGAAUAUUACAUUCAUCUCUUGUAUACUUAUGUUAUCUAGAACUUGCCCCAUUAGUCUUUCAAAACUAAUUUUGAUUGUAAUGAAGCUAUAACUCAUUGUUGUGUCGGUACAAUCACAUUCACCUCUUUUCCGAUUGACCUAGAAACAGUAGAUUCAGCUAAUCUUUCUGGUUUAUGAGCAUUGAUUUUUUUUAGUUAUAUGAUGAAAUCUAUUAGUCGAGGUUGAUACUAGUUACUCGUGAGAGGUGGUAGAGAUCUUGUAGAAUUAGUCGAGGUUGGUACCUAUUGCUGGUGAGAGGUGGCAGGUACUCCUUGAAAUCAAUCAAGAUAAAUGCAAGCUGGUCUGAAUACUACUGUAUCCAAAAAAUUGCUAUACUAUAAAGAACAAUUAUGCUAUAUAAUAUUUUGAUUUGUUGUCACUUGUCAAGCUCAAAAUUUCUUCAUCUGUUCUCGUACAUUAUUCUGAGUUGGAGUUCUAUUUUGUUUUCUGUUUUUUGGCAUCUAAUAUAAUAGGAGGAUUCAAAAUUUCUAUAUUAUGUAUUCUAGAGCACAGUUGUAGUUGUUAAUUGAGUUUUUGGUCAAUUAUCUCUAAAUAUUUAAUUUUUAACAGAAAUACAAGAUUUGAGACAAAAUAAUUGGAUAGUGUGAAUUCUUAGCCACCGUUGUGGCUAUGCCCUUGUAAGCGAUUUGAUUGUAAUUUGGACAUAGCAACAUUUGAAGUUUUAUCCUUUUUUCAAAACUUAUAGAGCACACUGUUCGUUAGCGAUGCGUUUCUUUACAUGAGUCGCUGUUAAUGUUUGCUAUUAAUUUGUGUGUUGUCCCAACUCCCAGCUGGUGUUAGCAGAUUGAAGGUUUGGGCAGUAACUACAGGUGCAUUUGUUGUGUUCAUCGGAGAAAGCCUCAAACUCGACUGAAUUCUUCGUUAUACCUGCAUCCUGUAAUUGCCUGUCUCACUAAUUUGGAGUGCCUGGAUCUUUCAUUUAAUAAGAUGAGGAAUUUACCUGAUGAGAUAAUCCAUCUUAACUCCUUGCUGUCACUGAAUGUUGCUGAUAAUAAAUCGAUUGAAGUACCUCCGAGUUUGUCUUCUCUGCAAAGAUUAGUGAAUUUGGACUUUUCUAACAAUAGGUUAAAAUCCUUAGAGAAUCUUGAUCUCCUUUCAAUGUGUAAUCUGCACAAACUCAAUCUCCAGGUAUGUGUUACUGAAACUACGGUUUCUUUUCGGACUCAUUGCUUUUAGACUUCUUCUCUAGUUUCUGUUCCUUUUCCCUCUUUUUGAUGAUUGUUUAUAACAUGAGAGGUAUCUGUUCUUAAUCUUGAUAAAUUUCUUGCAUCUCAGUGGAAAAAAAACUGAAAAUGUAUUUGAUUCAUUUGUCUAGUCAGGUGUUGUUCCAUUUCUUCGUGGGUAUGCUGCAAUUUGGAGGGGAAUUUCAUAGAUUUGUCCAAGGAUGACUUCACCAGUUCCAUCUUCAGAAAUGGACGUGCUUGAAGGUUAUUAUCAGGAGGAAAACUCUGAGAAUUCCCAAAAUGGAGCUUCUAUCGUAUUGUAAGGCCAUUUAUGUGGCUCAUCAUCCAACCAUCGAUAUUUUUGACCUCAAAAAUUGAAGAGAUGGAAGCGGCAAUUUUAUUUGCAAUAGAGGGGUCGUCAUGAGAGAUUAACUAACAGCAGAUGUAUUGCCUGCAAACAUUUUGAGCUAAUUAAUGAUUCUCUGGUGGAAGGCUUUUCAAGCAUCGUGGAUGACUAAACAAAUGAUAAAGAAUUGUUUACUGAAGAAGCUGAGUGCAUAGACUCUUUAGCUAGUGUUGUUGAUGAACGUAUCAGAUUAAAGGAGGAGGACCAUUGUGUAGAAAGAUCUUCAUGUGUUGCUUCUGACUCCUUUGAAACAUGCAUAGAUAUUCAGAAUUGUAAAAAAUGUGAUACUUUAGUAGGUUCUCUUUCUGAUGCUGCUGAUUUGGUCGAGGGAAGCUCGUCUUCUGAGGUGUCCAAUAAUCCUCCAAAAUCGAAAAGACAACUCGAUGGGGUCAUUGAUAUUCCAAAACCAUGCAAAAUCCGCAGACCAACAGAUCAUUCAGAGGUAUCCUGCAAACAUAGCAUGAUGUCUUUCUGUGUUAUUAAUGAUUAUUUACCAGAUGGCUUUUAUGACACUGGAUGAGAUCGGCCAUUUAUGUUGCUUAUGAGUUAUGAGUAGAAAUUGCAUCUGGAUUCACGGGAAGUCAUUUUAAUUGACAUGUAACGUUUGCAUCCCAUUAAUAGUUAUGGCUUUCAACUACAAACUUCAGUGAAUGGUUUGCCUCUCUUUUCAUUUUUCUUUACUUUAUUUUGUUCAGGCAAAGAGAUGAAAUGCUUGAUGCCAUUGCCCGAUGACGGAUGGUCUAUCGUUGUCUGUCUAAAGAUAGAGAACAUGUUGCUAUGUAAAAACUUAUAAUCAUUUAGGUACUUAAUUAAUAUUUUGCUUUUGAAUUUAGAUUACUAGUUUGUUAAUUCCAUAUUUUGGAUUAUGCGAUUAUUAAUGAAUGAUUUUUGUUUUGUGAUGUGUA